UAAGUGAAAGCCAACAAUUCGGCACCUAACUGUUAAUUAGGCCCUAGCUAUAAUUAGCUCACUUAG
rnacentral:tRNA from 1 species